UGGGGAAUUUUGGACAAUGGGGGAAACCCUGAUCCAGCCAUCCCGCGUGUGCGAUGAAGGCCUUCGGGUUGUAAAGCACUUUUGGCAGGAAAGAAACGUCAUGGGUUAAUACCCCGUGAAACUGACGGUACCUGCAGAAUAAGCACCGGCUAACUACGUGCCAGCAGCCGCGGUAAUACGUAGGGUGCAAGCGUUAAUCGGAAUUACUGGGCGUAAAGCGUGCGCAGGCGGUUCGGAAAGAAAGAUGUGAAAUCCCAGAGCUCAACUUUGGAACUGCAUUUUUAACUACCGGGCUAGAGGGUGUCAGGGGGGGGUGGAAUUCCGCGUGUAGCAGUGAAAUGCGUAGAUAUGCGGAGGAACACCGAUGGCGAAGGCAGCCUCCUGGGAUAACACUGACGCUCAUGCACGAAAGCGUGGGGAGCAAACAGG
rnacentral:rRNA from 1 species